rnacentral:rRNA from 1 species
UAGGGAAUCUUCGGCAAUGGACGGAAGUCUGACCGAGCAACGCCGCGUGAGUGAAGAAGGUUUUCGGAUCGUAAAGCUCUGUUGUAAGAGAAGAACGAGUGUGAGAGUGGAAAGUCCACACUGUGACGGUAUCUUACCAGAAAGGGACGGCUAACUACGUGCCAGCAGCCGCGGUAAUACGUAGGUCCCGAGCGUUGUCCGGAUUUAUUGGGCGUAAAGCGAGCGCAGGCGGUUAGAUAAGUCUGAAGUUAAAGGCUGUGGCUUAACCAUAGUACGCUUUGGAAACUGUUUAACUUGAGUGCAAGAGGGGAGAGUGGAAUUCCAUGUGUAGCGGUGAAAUGCGUAGAUAUAUGGAGGAACACCGGUGGCGAAAGCGGCUCUCUGGCUUGUAACUGACGCUGAGGCUCGAAAGCGUGGGGAGCAAACAGGAUUAGAUACCCUGGUAGUCCACGCCGUAACGAUGAGUGCUAGGUGUUAGACCCUUUCCGGGGUUUAGUGCCGCAGCUAACGCAUUAAGCACUCCGCCUGGGGAGUACGACCGCAAGGUUG